rfam:Vigna angularis cultivar Jingnong 6 chromosome 1, whole genome shotgun sequence.
AAGCCAUGUGUGGGCAUUUUUUGCAAUAACCCUUUGAAUCUAUCCCACGCUUGACCUAGAGUUUCAUCCAUGCCUUGUCUAAAAGAAGAAAUUUCUUAUUUCCCUUU